rnacentral:rRNA from 1 species
CAUACGGGUGGCAGCAGUGAGGAAUAUUGGUCAAUGGGCGCGAGCCUGAACCAGCCAAGUCGCGUGAGGGAGGACGGCCCUACGGGUUGUAAACCUCUUUUGCCGGGGAGCAACGGGCGUCACGUGUGGCUCCACUGAGAGUACCCGGAGAAAAAGCAUCGGCUAACUCCGUGCCAGCAGCCGCGGUAAUACGGAGGAUGCAAGCGUUAUCCGGAUUUAUUGGGUUUAAAGGGUGCGUAGGCGGUGAGGUAAGUCAGCUGUGAAAUGCCCCCGCUCAACGGGGUGAAGUGCCAUUGAUACUGGCUUGCUGGAAUGCGGAUGACGUGGGAGGAAUGUGUGGUGUAGCGGUGAAAUGCAUAGAUAUCACACAGAACACCGAUUGCGAAGGCAUCUCACGAAUCCGCGAUUGACGCUGAUGCACGAAAGCGUGGGUAUCAAACAGGAUUAGAUACCCUUGUAGUC